rnacentral:lncRNA from 1 species
UGUAUUUUGGAUUGAUAAUCCAGAUUAUCUUCCAUAAAAUAAUAUAGAUUAUCAAGAGUAGGGGUGGCUAUCCAGAUUAUCAAAUAUUUGAUAAUCUGAUAAUAAAAAAUUUGGACGAAACUAUCUUCAUCAAACAAACACAAUCUAAACUCCUUCUCGUUCUCCCGCUCAUCAUCCUCUUCAUCCUCCUCGCUGCUAAACCACCCAUUGUCGCAUGGACAGCCGUCGGG